rnacentral:lncRNA from 1 species
UAUUAUUGCAAAUAUAAAUUAUUUUGAAAUCUGCUCUGCUCUUGGGGCAGAGAAGCCUCACAGCACAUGCUUUGAUAUGCCUUUGAUCAUAUCAGAUCUUGUUGUGGUUCAUUGCUUUAUGACAUAUUUUUCCUUGCUCUUAUUUGUCCCCCACUGCUAUCCUGCAGUUUUUUACAGUGACUUCUAGUCACUCUUUAGCUCACUCCAGGCACUUUUUUGUUCCAGUUGGUCAGAAUUUUACUACUUUCAGUAACUAGCCUAUAGGAUUCUUUACCAUGCCUGCUCAGUAUAUAUAUAUAUAUAUAUAUAUAUAUAUAUAUUUAAUAGCAUUAGCAAGUUCGUUAUUAAUGUGUCCUUAUUGAACAUAUUUCUAGUGUGGUGUGUUAACUGAACAAGAUUAGUGCAAUUGGUUAUCCAUGUGACACACCAUCUGCCAUCCGGAUAUAGAUAAAAAGCCUUGCUUAUGGUAAUGCAUAUUUUAAAUAUUUCCUACAUCAAAUAUCAUUGUUGAUUUUUUUUCUGUCAUCACAUUGUUUUAUGUAUAGUAUGGAUUUGGCCAACUUAGGAUUUUAUUUUUUUUUUUCAAAUGAAAUGAUCUUACCAAACUAUAUUCAAUUUCUCCAGUAAAAAUAGCAAGAUGUGUCCUUAAGUGAAACCUUGUGUCACCGAUUUCCACUCAUAAAAUGCAGCUGCAGAGCUCUUCAUUCUUGGAGAGUGAAAAAGCAGAGCACCAAGGAAGACAGCAAUAUAAUCCUUAAAACAGCAGGUAGCUUUGAGCUGAAGAAACUUUAUUUUCUCUCAAGUUGUCAGACUAAUUUGGGACUACAUUUGCUUUGUAUGGGACAUUGUUUCCUUGCUAGUAGGUCACAUUAAUAACUAGUACUUUAUGGCUUGGGGACUAAUAACUAGUCUUGCUAGCUCUCUGUGCCCGGCUGAGUCUGUGUGAAGACAAUGAUUUCAGCAAGAACUGGUCCUUGCAGAAGUCAGUGAGGGAAAGAAGAGAGGGCAGUGUGUGCAUGGCUUCCUCAGCCUCCUAGAGAUGUGAGGUCAGCUCUCCGGUUCAAAAGGAGUAGGUCUACAACUCAGAAUUAAUUUUCUUCAAU